UGAGGAAUAUUGGUCAAUGGGCGGGAGCCUGAACCAGCCAAAGCCGCGUGAGGGAAGGAAGGCCCCUACGGGUCGUAAAACCUCUUUUGCCGGGGAACAAAAGCGGGUAUGUAUACCCGUAUGAGUGUACCCGGAGAAAAGCAUCGGCUAACUCCGUGCC
rnacentral:rRNA from 1 species